rnacentral:rRNA from 1 species
UACAGAGGGUGCGAGCGUUAAUCGGAAUUACUGGGCGUAAAGCGUGCGUAGACGGUAGCGUAAGUCAGAUGUGAAAGCCCCGGGCUCAACCUGGGAAUUGCAUUUGAUACUCUGGAGCUUGAGUACGGGAGAGGAGAGUGGAAUUCCCAGUGUAGAGGUGAAAUUCGUAGAUAUUGGGAAGAACACCGGUGGCGAAGGCGGCUCUCUGGACCGUAACUGACGCUGAGGAGCGAAAGCGUGGGUAGCAAACAGG